rnacentral:rRNA from 1 species
GACGAACGCUGGCGGCGUGCCUAAUACAUGCAAGUUGAGCGCUGAAGGUUGGUACUUGUACCAACUGGAUGAGCAGCGAACGGGUGAGUAACGCGUGGGGAAUCUGCCUUUUAGCGGGGGACAACAUUUGGAAACGAAUGCUAAUACCGCAUAAAAACUUUAAACACAAGUUUUAAGUUUGAAAGAUGCAAUUGCAUCACUCAAAGAUGAUCCCGCGUUGUAUUAGCUAGUUGGUGAGGUAAAGGCUCACCAAGGCGAUGAUACAUAGCCGACCUGAGAGGGUGAUCGGCCACAUUGGGACUGAGACACGGCCCAAACGCCUACGGGAGGCAGCAGUAGGGAAUCUUCGGCAAUGGACGAAAGUCUGACCGAGCAACGCCGCGUGAGGAAAGAAGGUUUUCGGAUCGUAAAACUCUGUUGGUAGAGAAGAACGUUGGUGAGAGUGGAAAGCUCAUCAAGUGACGGUAACUACCCAGAAAGGGACGGCUAACUACGUG